AGUAUCAAUGCUCUUCCUCUCUCCCCCCCUCUCACUGCAGACAUGAAACACUGGCUGACUAACAUCCUGAUUCUGACUCUCUGGCUAGAGUGUAAAGGAGAAGACAGAGUGAUCCAGCCACCAGGAGAUGUCAUUACUACUGAAGGAGAGACACUUACUCUUGGCUGUACAUUUGAGACCAGUGACCCAACUCCCACUUUGUUCUGGUACAAACAAGAAGGAAAUGAUUACCCAAAGAUGCUGCUGCAACGUUUCUCUGUAAAAGCUGAUCAUUCUAAAGAGAAAGAGAGAGUUGAUGCUGGAAUAAAGGAUAAGUCAAUUCCUCUGGAGAUCCAGAAGCUUCAGCUGUCUGACUCUGCUGUGUACUACUGUGCUCUGAGGCCCACAGUGACAGGAAACACCAAAACUCUGUACAAAAACCUUUGGAGCAAAGACAACACAAUACUCCAAAACGUCCACCAGAGGGACACACACUGUUAACCUUCAACAUGAUGU